AACUUUUACCUACUUCAAGGAUUAACUAUAUUGUUGUUUGCAUCACAUGGAAUAUCAAUUUUCCUUUUUGAUCUCUAUUACAGACCAUUUAACAUGUCACAUUUAAGGUGAUCCUUAGAUUUAAUUGUCACCUGCAGUUAUUGCCUUUUCAAUCAAGGGCAUUCAACUUACAUGUUUUGUUUUCUUUUUCUUUUGAGACCAUGCUCUCAUGAUGUUUAUUGUAUUCUAAUAGGUGAGAAACGUAAUGAUAGAGAAUAUUGAUAAAGUUUUGGAGAGAGGUGAUCGGUUAGAAUUGCUGGUUGACAAAACUGCCAACAUGCAAGGAAAUACCUUUCGCUUCCGAAAGCAAACUCGCCGUUUUAGAAACACAGUAUGGUGGAGAAACGUCAAACUUACGUAUGCUUUCUGAACCAUUUAACCUCACUUUUUUAUGUCUACAUGAACAGUUAGCAUUCUUUGUAAAUUUGCUCCUGGAAAUAGAAGAGGUACUAGGAUUAGAUGAAUUUAUCUCUCACUAACUUGCUUUGCACAUUGCAGGGUUGCUCUAAUAAUCCUCCUCCUAAUAAUUAUUUAUGUUGUGCUGGCUUUUGUUUGCCAUGGGAUCACACUACCUUCAUGCCUAAAAUGAGGUCAAGAGCUUGAGAUUUAAACUCCUUCGGUACUUGCCCCCUUUCCUCUUGCUUAUAGUUUUAUUUGUUUGUUUUUAGUUAUAUAUAAUGUUUAUAUUGAGUUGAGUUGAGUUGAUUUUAUUGUUUAUUUAUUCAAUGUGAAGAGCUAGAAAUGUUAUGCUUGUUCCUGUGUUACCAUGUUUCUUUAGGAAUUCGAAAUUGUUUGGUUUUGUUUUGAAGACAUGGCUUGAUUACUCGAACUUUAUGGUGUGUGUGUGUUUACUUUUGGGUUAAAAGUCUAUAUUUUUCUUCAUUGCUACUCCUGUUUUGUAUGUUUUUGAAGUUUUUUUAGUUAUACAAACAACAUUAGACUGAUGUGCAAGUUGUUUACAAAUGUUUAUGCGAACUCAACUGCUUGUUAUCAAGGUAUGCCCUUUGGUUACAUGCAUUACAAACAUCAUGGGAGCUCAGUCAAAAAAGCUGUAGAUUGUAAAAAUGCAACAAGUUUGAUAUUUAAAUUUUGACUUGUCCCUUUAUUUUUCUUCAUGAUCUUUAAACAUCCUUUCUCAUGAAAGGGCAGCCGCGGUUUUUCAAAUUAUGAAAAUGAAUUAUGAAAUUACAUGUCCAAGGGGUAAAUGUGGUGUUUCUCAAAGUUUGACUGUCUCAAAGCUUCAAGCUUACCUGCAAUCAAUGAUCAGUUGAAUUAAAAAGGCUGUCUUGUUGACUAAAUGGAGUGGCAAAAAUAUUUGAAUUCAAGUUUUUUGUUGACAUCAGCUUUGGUUUUGAUUCCUAGAUAAUUCUUUACCCUCACCCUUUAUAUAUUAAGGUUGUCUCCCUCCUUACAGAAAUAACUUGUUUGAAAAGAGCUUCCCUAAACCAAACAUUCUUCCUUGUAUAUAAGGACCUUGGCAAAAGUGUUAUGGAGGUUCCUAUACUAUGAAUCAGAUUAUAUUUUGUUCUUUCUACUCCAAAAAUAGAUAAAUUAAUCUUUAUAUAUUAGGUCGAAGUGCAAAUUGGUUUUUUCUAUUAAAAUUUUCAUCUAUUUGUACUGUUAAAAAUUGGCAUGUUUGACAGAAUAACCGGACAAAGACAUUUUACGUAUAAUAUGUAUUUUAUGCCAACGUUUGUGAACCAAUUUGUAAUAACAGAAAUGGAAGAAAAUUUUAACAAAAUGAUUAGUUUACUUUUUGAAUUUUUCUUAUAUUUCUAGAAGAAUAAUGCAAUCUGACUUUUAUUCAAUAAAUUUUAAGCGAGUACAUUGAGACUCACAAGCUUUAAGUGUUCCAAACAAUAAACUGGGUUAUACACAUGAAUGCCAUUGGUCCGUCGGUCGACAUGCCUGCGCUUGAAAUCUUUACACUAUUGGAGGUAGUAUAUAUCGUGAGGGGAUUUCUUUGAUGUUAAUCAAGAACAAUCACCUCGAAUUUACAUCGUGUUUUCUGUUCAAAAUGCACUGCAGCUUCCCUCAGGUGUUUCAUGCGAAGAGCUAAACCAUACUUAUUUAAAAAUUCCUUGAAAUGGAUUCAAGCUAUCGUUAUCUUGAAUAGGAGUGAUCAUUCCACUGGAAAAUGCAUCCUAUUAAGUAAACCAGAACCUUUUGAAAACCAACCUUAAUGUAAUUCAUAUUCUUUUAAUUUCAUUAAAUUUUUUUAUUACUAGCACAUUCAAUCUAAUUUUGUGAAAGUGGAUUUAUUAUGCAGAUCUGAUUUAUUUUCUAAACAAAAUUAGUUCUGGGUCACUUGCCAAUUUUAAGUCAAUUUUUUCAUGAGAAUUAAUUAAAGUGACUGAAUUUAUUAAUACUAGAUGUUCAAUAAUGUAAUUUGAUUAAACUAAAGGUUCAAAUUGAUACUAAAUUAAGUAAUCUAAAAUGUAGGUUGCUCGACAACUUUGUUCUACUUCUUUUAAUUUCUUCGGAUCCUUCAUUGCAUGAUUUACUACAAACAGAAACAAUGACGAGCCGUAAGAAAAACCUCUGAUACAGCAAUUUGCAAUGUUUUGCACUGAUCUGUAACAUUAACUUGUGGUGGGCUUCGUAGCUUGAAUUUAAGCAAUGCUCUACAAGUUAUUAAUGGACACGGAAGCCAUUCAAAUGAACAAUGUCAAAGACAGAAGGAAAGUAUUUUUGUAAUAAAUGUUAAUCUUUAGUCACAUAUUGGACUUGUACAGUGAAUGAGGGCUGAAAUAUGUAAUAAGCAUUUCCAUUUCAACAACCAUAUCGGAAGCAUAUUCUUGACUAAGCAGAUUCUUUAAAUAAUAGUUGGAUUGCAUUUUACUUUUCCUCUCAUAUUUCUUUUAUAUGAGAUGAAAAAUUGAUAUGAUUUAGAGCUUAUCCAUUAAAAAUGAAAUGAAUAUACUUAAAUUUGCUUCGACCAACUCAAGGAUGCAUUCCCUGCUUAUUUUCGAAUCUAACUUUGAAUGAUCUUACGAUACAUUUACAGCUGUAAAGGUGUGCAAAUUGAUAUAUUUACGAAUUUUAAAUAUAUGUUUCCUCUGUAUAUAAGAUGUUUGGGUCUUCCAAUUGCAACUGUCACCGAAUUUUAAAAAUUUAGUUGAAUAAAAAUUUUAUAUAGAUUUGAGAACUUUAUAACCCACUGACUCCUUGAUUCUUCUAAUUACAACCUUUUUCUUUAGAAAUAAUUGAUGAAUUGAGAACUACCCAGGAAAUUCAACUUCAACAUUUCAUGGCUAUAUUUUGAAACAUCAUGCCAAUAAAUCAUGAAGUUUAGGGUCUGAUUAUAGCUUGGGGAUUGAUAUAUAAGAAGAUGGCGACUCAGUGGGAUAACAAUCGUGGGAUUGUCUUCCGACUAAAUAUCACUGUGAGUUUCGACUACACUUGGACUUCUCGAUCCAAAUUAAAUACCACCAACUUGACCUUUGAUCAUGGUGGAAUUUGACCUGCGGUCCGCAAAUUUUCACUUAUUCUAUUUCUAUUUCUAUGGUCCGUUAGUCAGUAAUGUGGGUUGGCUUAGAUUACUUAGUGUUGCGCGCCUAGGAGGGCAGCGCGCUUUGGGAUGCGGAGGAGCUAUUUUCGCCCAGCCCCCUAACCUAAUGCGGCACCGGGUUCGGACCGCAGGGAACCGUAGCAUGGGGGGGACGUCUAAUCCUUUUGUCGCCGCAAGGCUGGCUAAUCGUACGCAGCAGGCUCGAAGACCUCUGGUUCUGGAAGGCACAUGAGUCCGAACGCUAUGUUGAAUGUGCGACCGACACUACACUACGUAGGUACCUGUGCAGGCGAGGCGUCGGCCGGUCCUAGAAACGGCGGCAGCGGCGGGAGGAGUUAACGACCGGACAUGCUGCAACCUAGGGAUCACCAGGCAGCUCUUUCGCUUUAUAGGGAUCGGGGGGGCAUAGCACAAUUCCUUUUGGAGGAGGGUUGGUUUGCCUGGGUGACUGAUCCUUCAGGGAAGUCUAUCAUGCAAUCAAAAGAAUUAAUCUUUUUGAGAAAUCGAUGUCUUACUCCAUUACUUUGAAGGAACAAAACAAGAGAACAAUAGCCUGACAAAUGGUUCGGUCCGAUUCGGGUGCCGUUUAGGCAAGAUCCGAAUCGAACCCAUCAUUGAUUUGAGAUAUUGAUAGGGUGAAUACCCGGUCUAUUCAAUGCUAGGCAUAAUGAGUAUAAGGACCUCAAAAAUGCUCUUUUCGUCCUAUGAAUCUUAAGGUGUAUGAAGUUUCAUGUUUGAUUUUUUAAUCAGGAUGGUAGAGACUCCAUUUAACUUAGGUUGAUCUAGGCCAGAAGCAGACCUACGUCAAGAUAACCCUUCCCCUUUAGGAAGAUCAAUCUUGGCUUGGCGAGUGGCAAAAUACUACCCCCUUCCUCCUAAUGCUUAAGGUGCCUGUGUACGAGGCUGUUAUGUCAUUCUGGAGAGUAG
rnacentral:lncRNA from 1 species